ensembl:snRNA U6 U6 spliceosomal RNA
GUGCUCCUUCAACACCACAUUUACCAAAAUCGGAACAACACAGAGAUUAGCAUGUCCCCUACACAAGCAUGACAUGCAAAUUAGCGAAGCAUUCAUGAUUUUU